rnacentral:rRNA from 1 species
GAAAGUAAGCAAGGGCAGACGGUGGAUGCCUUGGCUCUCGGAGGCGACGAAGGACGUGAUAAGCUGCGAAAAGCUCGGGGGAGGCGCAAAUAGCCGUUGAUCCCGGGAUAUCCGAAUGGGGCAACCCGGCAGGCUGAAGGCCUGCCAUCCCGUAAGGGAGGCGAACGUGGGGAACUGAAACAUCUAAGUACCCAUAGGAGGAGAAAAUAAACAAUGAUUCCGUAAGUAGUGGCGAGCGAACACGGAAGAGCCCAAACCCAUGUCGUCUAGGCGACACGGGGGUUGUAGGACCACGACGUGGCAAGAUAGAGUCAAGUGGAACGCCUUGGAAAAGGCGGUCAUAGAGGGUGAAAACCCCGUACACGACUGACGAUUGAAGCCUAGUGGCAUCCUGAGUAGCGCGGGGCACGAGAAAUCUUGCGUGAAACAGCGGGGCCCAUCCCGUAAGGCUAAAUACUCCCGAGAGACCGAUAGCGAACCAGUACCGUGAGGGAAAGGUGAAAAGAACCCCGAGCAGGGGAGUGAAAUAGACCCUGAACCCGUCUGCCUACAAGCGGUCGGAGCAUCGUCAAGAUGUGACGGCGUGCCUUUUGCAUAAUGAACCUACGAGUUACCUUCCCCGGCAAGGUUAAGUACCUAAGGUACGGAGCCGAAGCGAAAGCGAGUCUGAAGAGGGCGGCCAGUCGGGGGGGGUAGACGCGAAACCGAGUGAUCUACCCUUGGCCAGGUUGAAGGUUGGGUAACACCAACUGGAGGACCGGAUGGGUAAGCGUUGAAAAGCUUUCCAAUGAGCUGAGGGUAGGGGUGAAAGGCUAAUCAAACUCGGAGAUAGCUCGUACUCCCCGAAAUGCAUUUAGGUGCAGCCUCUUUAUAGUAUAUCGUGAGGUAGAGCGACUGAUUGGAUGCGAGGGCUUCACCGCCUAUCAAGUCCAGAUAAACUCCGAAUGCGCGAUAUAUAUUUAAAGGGAGUGAGGGCGCGGGUGCUAAGGUCCGUGUCCGAGAGGAGAAGAAUCCAGACCACCGGCUAAGGCCCCCAAAUGAUCGUUGAGUUGAACUAACGAGGUCGGAUCGCAGAGACAGCUAGGAUGUUGGCUUGGAAGCAGCCAUUCAUUUAAAGAGUGCGUAACAGCUCACUAGUCGAGCGAUCUGGCGUGGAUAAUAAUCGGGCAUAAACGAUCUGCCGAAGCCGUGGAUGUCGUAAGACAUGGUAGGGGAGCAUUCCAUGCGGCGUCGAAGAUGAGGGAUGACCCUUGUUGGAGCGCAUGGAAAAGCAAAUGUAGGUAUGAGUAACGAUAAGGGGGGCGAGAAACCCCCCCGCCGAAAGACCAAGGUUUCCUGAUCAACGCUAAUCGGAUCAGGGUGAGUCGGGACCUAAGGCUAAGCCGAACGGCGACGCCGAUGGAAGAAUGGGUUAAUAUUCCCAUACUGCCUCAUGGAGUGACGUGGAGACGGAGAAGUGACAGUCCUGCCGGCUGACGGAAUAGCCGGUUGAAGGGUGUAGAUAUUGAUUCCCGUAGGCAAAUCCGCGGGGAGAGUCGAACCUGACAGUAUACCGAGUACUUGUACGAGGUAAUAUGGACGUAACCAUGCUCCCAAGAAAAUCCGCUAAACUUAUCCAUGCGGCACCCGUACCGUAAACGGACACACGUGGUCGGGUUGAGAAUACUGAGGCGCUCGAGUGACUCACGGUUAAGGAACUAGGCAAAUUGACCCUGUAACUUCGGGAUAAAGGGUCCUCGUCGUAAGGCGAGGCGCAGAGAAUAGGUCCAGGCAACUGUUUAACAAAAACACAUGGCUGUGCUAAAUGGAAACAUGACGUAUACAGCCUGACACCUGCCCGGUGCUGGAAGGUUAAGAGGAGAUGUCAUCGCAAGAGAAGCGUUGAAUUGAAGCCCCAGUAAACGGCGGCCGUAACUAUAACGGUCCUAAGGUAGCGAAAUUCCUUGUCGGGU